rnacentral:lncRNA from 1 species
GACUGAGCUGAGGAUGAAGGAGCUAAGCCCAUGUAACCCAGCUGAGCCAGGAAUCCUCCCAGGUCCGUCAGUCAGAUCUGCUACAUCCUAAUUUGCUCAACUUUUCAGAUCUUGCUAUAGAAUUUCCCCCUUAAGCAGACACUGCACAAAAAUGUGCCAAAAUAGACUAACAAAACUGCUAUUUCUUCCAGGUAACUGUUCAGGAUUGUGAUUUAAACUGGGUAAAACAGCCUUUAGCUUCAAAUAAUGACUUUGGCUUAAAACGUGGGCAUGCAGUUCAGCUUCACCACCUCUGUGGAAGCAGAUAGCCAAAAGUUUAUUACUAGAGGUCUACAAGGCUUCGAAGAAGUCAGUUUGAAAGAUUAACCUUUCCACGCUAUAUAAAGUACUAUGGUGACAAGAUUGCAAUCUCAUGUUUAGAAGGAGAAAAAGCAUGCCACAUUUACCGCCAACCUGAAAAGUUGAGAAAAAAGACGGACUAAAUGUAAUGGAACCACAGCUAGAAAAACAUUCUGGUCAUUUCACGUUCAAACCUUAUCUCGUAUCACCUGAGAUAAAGUGAUGCACCUUGGAAUAAUGACAGUACAUUUGCAGUUAGGAGGACUUCAGAGAAUAACUAAUGCUCUGAAUGUCAACUUAUUCUGUAUAAGAAAUACAAUGGGCAAUGUGACUUUUUAAUCUAUUUGUUAAUCCAUCUUGCUUGAGAGACUAGUAUCUUAAUAUUUUAUAAUCAGUUUGGGCUUCCCAGAAAUAAAAGGUGUAUUAUUCUGUAAAGACAAGGGCCUGUGUUCUGUGGCUUCUAGGGCCUUUGGGAUCUUGAGGGCAGUUGAAUUGGGGAUCUUGAGGGUGGAGGGGUACAUCAAAAUGACUAACCCCAAUUUAAAGCAUUUUUCAUUCAUUUGCAAGUGGUGUGUUGGGGAGUGCCAUUUAGGGGCCAGUUGGGGUGCAGAAUUUCAGGUGAAAGAACUUUUGAUGCCAGUGGUGAGAUGUCUUCUUUCUUUUAACCCUUUUAAUUUUAUGUUUUAAAAGCUGUGCCAUUGGCAUUGCAGGUGCAGCAGCAGGACUGGGUCUCUGACCACUGCUGAUAUCCUUCCUUCCUGUGGCCUCUAUCAGAGCUGUGGGGUGUCUUUAGCUUGGCUUAACAAAUUUCCACCUCCACUUUUCAUGGCCUCCUUAAUUUAGUAGAGGGAUGCUUCACAUAUCUAAAUUUCUACACAGAGCUAAGGAUGGUGAACCAGGCUUGGGAUUGGAUCUAGGACAUUUGGAGAACCUGAGUCCAAAUGGGGCAUGAGCCUUCUAACCCAUUAAGAACAGGAAGCCCCAAGCAAUCUCUGCUGCCCCCCUACCACCUUACUUUUUCUUCCAUACCUCCUGCAUAAGAGUAGCAGCAUGGUGGUGGGCAGCUAUAAUGAGAGGCAAAAAGGAGUAUAAAAAAUGUUGGGCACACGAGAUUGUGAUUAGGUAGUUCAUUUAAGGCAGGGGUAGGCAACCUAAGGCCCGGGGGCCGGAUGCGGCCCAAUCAUCUUCUAAAUCCAGCCCGUGGACGGUCUGGGAAUCAGCGUGUUUUUACAUGAGUAGAAUGUGUCCUUUUAUUUAAAAUGUAUCUCUGGGUGAUUUGUGGGGCAUAGGAAUUCGUUCAUUUCCCUCCCCCCAAAAAAAAACCUAGUCCGCCCCCCCACAUGGUCUGAGGGACGGUGGACUGGUCCACGGCUGAAAAAGGUUGCUAACCCCUGAUUUAAGGGCUCAAACUACAACUCCCAGAGUCUACUGCACUGCAUCAUACUCAGCCAAAUAGAUUACUUCUGAGUUUGUUCUAGCUAAUGAUUUUACUAUUGACUACUUAAGCAACAGAUCUGUGUAAGCCAUUCUUGUUCAGAAAUAAAACCACCAUACAAAAUACCAUUGUACUAAGUAGCAAGUCUCCUCUACAGAAUACGUUUUAUAAGUUGUGAAAUAUCUCACUUAAAGGUCAUCAUCAAACAAAAGAUCAUGCUACUUUUAAGUCUCAAUAAUUCAUACUCACCAAAGCAAGAAGAAGCAAACACCCAUGACUUAGUCCACUUAAUCAGAUGUUUCACAAAGUGUCCUUGAUUACUGUGAGCAUUUUUGAGGAGCCUAUGUAUUAAAUGACAGUGCAGUUAGAUCAGUGCAGAUGAUGCUGACGAAAUUCAGCUUCAGUUCAGUGAUGCCGGGGGGGGGACCCUUACAAGUUUGCAGAAUAAUAAAAGAAAGGUUGCAUUUUGGCACUGCAUACUAACAGGUUGGCUAUUCAAAUGUGUUCAUUAACAAUUUCUGGACCAUGAAACUGCUGUGUCUCAGCAAAGAACCUGAAAAUAAUUUGUAAUUUAAAAAAAAAAAACUUAUUUAGUAAAUCUGAGACAAAGAGAACUGAAUCCAAAGGUGCUCUUCUGUGAAUGGAAAGGAAGCAGUCUUUCCAGAUUUGGAAAGGCCUGUUCUUUGAAUGAAAGAGGCUUGGAUCUAGUGGCAGUGCAGUGCUUUUAGGUGCAGGGUGAAGACCAAUUUAUCUCCCUGAUCCUUUAAAUAAUUGAUUCAUGGUUUUUUAAUGCUACAUUAAACUACUGUUCUAGAGUUUGUGCUGUUUUUAUCAUUUUUGCAUUUAUUGAUAGAGGUUUAUAGCAUCCUGAAUAUGUGUUGCUUUGUGUAUCUCUAACACACUGUUGCCCAUUAGAUUUUGAAUUGCAUCAGCAAUCUUCCUUUAAAAUAGACUUUGCUAGUUUGCUCUGCCACUUUGAUUUGAAAUUGCUGUCUUGCCCCUUCACAGUCAAAUUACUCCUAGAACAGCAAAUUAUUCAGAGUUCACACUUGUGAGUAAGGCAGGUUCUCCAGGGUGAAAAGGUGUUAAUUAGCGACAGGAGCAAAUUGCUGUGCUCUGCCUCCUAGUCUAUUACACUUAAUCAUUAAUUCUGGGAUGCCUUUGCUUUACAAUCCACUCAAUUCUUUUAGUUCAUGGAAAGAGUUCUCUCUCUCUCUCUCUCUCUCUCGCUCUCUCUCUCGGUACUGGGGCUUUCUCAUAUGAAAAGUAACUGACAUAUUUCAAAACGUGAAUUUAAUCUGAUGUUGGCAUAAUGACAAAACUUUGAUGAGAUCAUGAUGCACAGUUAUUAUUACUAAAUAUACUCCUAUUAUACUUCAGUUUUCAACAUGGUUUCUGGAAAUAAAUAUUCACAAACACUAUUAUGUAAGCUAUCUCUGGAAAUAGAGGCAUCAACAAGACAGGCUGAUCAGAGUUUCUUAUAUUCAUUCCGUUUAACGAAGCUGAUCCAGUUCCAGUCAGGCUUUGUUGUAUGCUACAAGUGCCUUUAGUUAGAGCUGCAGAUUCCCAUCAAUAGCAUAUAUUCAGUUCCAGUUCAUUGAGAACUAGAUAAGCACUGUAAUGUGUACCCACAGAUCUCCCUUGCCAAACUGGGGAUUCAGUUUUUAACAACAUUUCAUUAUAGGAUUUUUGACACGCGCGAUUUGCCCCUCUCUGCUACUGAAUUAGAGAGAGGCAGAUCAGUCUACUUCUGAUCUGUGUCAUUUUCACAUAUUUUAAGUAUUUUUCCAUCCUCUUUUACGUUAAUAUCUGUGAUUUAUUUUAAAAACCUGCACAAACAUUUGCAUUUUAAAUAUGUAUUUAAAUGUAUGUUUGAACAAGGAUCAAAUACCUUAAGCAUCCCUACUCCUUUGUGUUUAGCUCUCAUCACAAAAAGCCUUAUCUGUUACAUACAAGUAUCCUUGUAGAGUCAUUGUUGCAGAAGUAAGUGGUAGGAUAACAAUGAAGCUCAAACCUUCUUUUUGUGCAAGAAACCUAGCUGAACCCCAGUUGACUGCUGUGCAGUACUUUGGGCAGUUUAAUAGAAUUUCUUAUUAAUUGCAGAACUGUCCUUGAGAGCUAUGAGAAAAAUUAGAUUGGACAGUAUUGAUUCCAAGCACUUCUAUUCCUCUUUGGGGACAUCCUGAGAUAACAAAACAUUCACUGAUAGGCAGAUAAAAUAACUUUCGCUCCCUCUGUGCUUGGUUCGAUCGAUGGGAAUCUAUUUGCAUAAGAGAAUAUUGGCUGUGUUAAUUUAGCCCUGGAAAUAUCAUGAUGAGAUGCUAUGGAUGUAGGAUGCUAAGUGUGUUUUUGGUUAAAUAAACACAAAAGAUGUUGGCACAUUUUGAAUUACCCCUAGUUAACCUUUUCAAAUAGCAAAUUAUUUUAUUGGGUGGAGGGAGGGACAUUUUUAUAAACUCCCAUUUUUAAUGCACUUUUUCAAGGACAAAAUUUAUACAGUACUUGUACUUCCUAGAAUUCAUAACUGAGAUCUGAACCAAAACUUUCCUUAUCACUGAAGCAUGAGCAAAGCACAUAUAUAUAAAACAGAAAAUAUAAUGAACAAAAUGUUUGUAUAUUUAAGAAUAAGUGUGUGUAAAAAAUAAUAAUCUAGUAAAUGGAUUUUAUUACUUCCAACACACACAUUGGAAUAGAUUCUAGAGUAUUUGCAGAAUUGUUGCAUGGUAUAGUAAUGACUGCAGUCUACAUUAAGCCCCUGUAGCAAUGUUUACUGUGUAGUGGCAACGCAUCAGUUUCUUCCUGGAGGCCUAUAUGCACGCCCAGCAGUGUAUGGACUAUGCAUGUGAUUGGCCUAGCACAAUCUAAGUUUAGGGUCCUCAGCAUGAGCACCCUCAGGCAUGUAGCCAUCAUAUGCACGCAUACUUUUUAGCCAGUGAAAACUUGCUGGCUGGCAAUUGGUCUGGAGAAACUGGUUCAUCAUCCCAUCUAUAUUGAGUGCUGUAGAUUCAUUGAUUGUCCUUGGUAUUAGGUACUCUUUUUUAGAAUGAGUACAUCUUUUAUAGAAUGUCUUUUAAAUGCUUAAUUCCUUAAUAUGUUCCAUAUGUUUAUACAUAUGAUUUGACAGAUGGUGCUCACUCCUCAGGCCAUAGUGGAGGAUCUUUUCAGAAGUUUAAACUAGGAUUACCAGUCCCAGGAUUCUUAGCAGAGAUAGCGUGCAGCAUUAGUAACAGUCGUAACAGUCACUGGUGGGAAAAUAUGUUGUUCGUGGGCUUGAAGUAGUAGCAGAUGGUGUGGUGAUGCAGUGGCACCUGACAACUUCCUAACAGCUGCUGCUUACCAGGAAGGGAGGUGCAAGAUGGUGGUGUCAAAUUCAGUGCAGUGCAAACACACUGGCAUAGUCAAAUCUGGUGUUUCUGCUGGUUCAUUCCUACCACCACACUUCUCCCUGUCUCUUCCCAGUAUCAGUAGCUCAGUUGUUAGGAGGUCAGGUGAGCCACCCCACCAACCCUUUCCAUUACUGCCUUAGGAAGCAUCACAGCCUCUACUUCCUUGAGCUUCAAAAUUAGUUUCUGUGUCUUUCUGGGCUUUUGCAAGCAGCUCAAUUUGAAUGCUUGUGAUAUCCCUAAUGAGACCUGCUUAGCCAGGACAACACUUCCUUUGUUAUCUCUAGUUCUUUCAGGGUCUCACCAUCUUGUCUCCGGCAUACAAAACUAUUGCAAUCUACAAGUAUACUGUACGUGCUAUAUUUCUUUCCUUUGGAGUGUUCUGCAAGGACAAGAGAAAAGACACAUUGAUAUAUACCGUAUUUGUAGCCAGUGGUCACUUUGAUGAGCUUUGACUUUUAUUUUCCUUCUACCAUAUAUUUAAGUAUUUGCCCAGCUGGUAAGUUUUCAUUUGUUCCCGUUAGAAAAGGGAUGAAAUAUUGAGUAACAUAUUAAAGACCUGAAAUUUCCCAAUUGUGUUACUGUUCCCUCAUGUAUCCUUGUGGGAGUAAGUGCAUUAUUAAUUUGAUCAGGGACUGCAGGAUGCCCUGAUGAAAUGAACAGGUUUCUUAGACGAAGAUAAUAGGAAAUGAGAGCACACACUCAGCUUAAAGUAGAAUUGAAUGUAGAGGUGCAUUACCAUGAGGGAAAUCCAUGAAAAAUGGGAGCAGCAGGGAGCUAAUAAUGCCUGCUCAUAUUAAUUUUUCCUAUAUCUACAGAAAUGCUUCAAAAGUAUUUCCUAUUUGCUAGAUGAGGAAUAAUGAGACCAGAGGUUAUUGAAUUUCUUUCCCCAUAAACUUUGAUUUCUGCCAUAUGAAUUUUAAAUGCUAAUGUAUCUGGUACCCUGAUCACUGUCAGAAACUCAUUGAAAGUUAAUUUGGCUGGAAUUCAUAAUAUCUGGCAGUAUUGAGAGGAACAAUUCAUUCUUGGAGCCUCUUUGCAUGAAAUGUAAACUCAGACUUUGCUACCUUUUCUCAUCAGGAAUUCAUGGAGAAUGAACAGUGAACAGGAUGAGAGACAAAAAUAUGCCUUUAUUGAUUGGGUGUCAGUUGAGAUUUUUAAAUCCAUAGAUUUUAGACUAAAAGGAUAUUGAUAAUUUUGUGGCUUUGUGUGGACAGGUGCAGCUCCAUGGUUUUGGGGACACUGGGCAGCCAGCACCAGCUCUUAUAGUUUAUUACUUGCUGAAACUUGCGGGUGUUGAGUGGAGUUCUGUGGCUGACAAACUUAUAGUUGCCUCAAACUGCCUUUCUAAUUAUGUUGGGCCCACCUGGUGAAUACAAGACUAUGAGCUGGGAGUUCCACUCAGUGCCACUGUUGGGUUGCCCAGUGGUAGUGGCAUUACAGCAGCCCUGAACAAGAAUUUGGGGGUAUGAACAGCAUAUUCCACUCCCUAUACCAUGGGUAGACAACUAAGGCCCUGGGGCUGGAUCUGGCCCAAUCGCCUUCUAAAUCUGGCCCACAGACGAUCUGGGAAUCAGUAUGUUUUUACAUGAAUAGAAUGUGUGCUUUUAUUUAAAAUUCGUCUCUGGGUUAUUUGUGGGGCAUAAGAAUUCGUUCUCUCCCCCCCCCCCCCAAAAUAUAUAGUCUGGCUCCCCACAAGGUCUGAGGGACAGUGGACCGGCCCCCUGCUGAAAAAGUCUGCUGACCCCUGCCCUAUACUAAGAGUUGCCUUCACAUAAAUGGGAGAAGGAUAAAGGCUCUGAGACUCCUUUUCCUCCUGUUCCACAGCCCCAAGGAAAAUUCCCCACCUAGGCAGGCAUCAGGAAUGUGGGUAAAAUAUAAAAACUUUCUCCCUUCUCAUCAAGGCUGGAUAUUGUAAAUCUGCUAGUUACAU